UACGGAGGGGGCGAGCGUUAUUCGGAAUCAUUGGGCGUAAAGGGCGCGUAGGCGGUCUGACAAGUCAGAGGUGAAAUCCCUCGGCCUAACCGAGGAACUGCCUUUGAAACUGUCAGACUUGAGGCCGGGAGAGGGUGGUGGAAUUCCGAGUGUAGCGGUGAAAUGCGUAGAUAUUCGGAGGAACACCAGUGGCGAAGGCGGCCACCUGGACCGGUACUGACGCUGAGGCGCGAAAGCGUGGGGAGCAAACAGG
rnacentral:rRNA from 1 species